UGGUAGAGGGUCCCUGCGACAUUCCCUAGCGACACACAAUCAAAGGAGCGACAGCAACAGGUUCCCGCUGCCUUUCCCUUUCCCGUCUAAGUUAUACAUCAUGUGCAUGGCAAACCUGGAAGAGCUUCAGAGCACCGAUUCCCUGGAAUGCCUUGAAUGUUUCAUAGACCUCAACAAUGGUGAAGGGCAAAUUUUUACUAUUGAUGGCCCCCUGUGCUUGAAAAAACGUGCAGUCUAUGUUUGGAAAGCUGAUAGACCUGGCAUAUACGCCUUUCCAUGCUGUGCUCAAGUGUGGCC